rnacentral:rRNA from 1 species
GACGAACGCUGGCGGCGUGCUUAACACAUGCAAGUCGAACGAAAAUACCAAGCUUGCUUGGUUGAUUAGUGGCGAACGGGUGAGUAACACGUGAGUAACCUGCCCCUUACUUUCCUGGAUAACUGCUCGAAAGGGUAGCUAAUACGGGAUAUUCUGACCAGCCUGCAUGGGUUGGUUUGGAAAGGUUGUUUUUCUGGUAAGGGAUGGGCUCGCGGCCUAUCAGCUUGUUGGUGGGGUGAUGGCCUACCAAGGCUUUGACGGGUAGCCGGCCUGAGAGGGUGGACGGUCACACUGGGACUGAGAUACGGCCCAGACUCCUACGGGAGGCAGCAGUGGGGAAUAUUGCACAAUGGGCGCAAGCCUGAUGCAGCGACGCCGCGUGAGGGAUGAAGGCCUUCGGGUUGUAAACCCCUUUCGUCAGGGAACAAGGCACUGCUUUUUUGGUGGUGUUGAGGGUACCUGGAGAAGAAGCGCCGGCUAACUACGUG